AGGCAUUUAUAUUUAUUUCUUUUGCGUUCAUUUUCAAAUUCGCCGUGCAUAUAUUUUUGUGCAUGGCGCUUGAGAGGGAAUCACGUGACUAAAAACGACCAACCAACGACCUCGCUUCGGCCAUCUUGGCAUCUUCAUCUUGGCGACCUUGCCGUUGCCCGGCCUUGCCUUGCCGUGGAUUGUUCUUUGUAUUUUGUAUUAUUUGUGCUUUUUAAGAAUAUUUUUUUAAUUCGGAUACUUUUAUAAUAGCUUUAAUAGUAUUAUUAACAUAGUGCAUAAAAUGGUGUCCUGUUUUUAACGCAGUUGGAGUAGCAGAAACAAAUGUAGAUAAAAAAAUCUGCAGGAAUAACGUUUCAAUUAUGACAGAAGCUCAAAACAAAUGACUGUGAAUGAAAAGCCCUAUUAAAAGCUUUCCAGAAGAUCCUGCGAAGAAGACAAGAAAGUAUAGAUUAGAUUUGUUAAUAGAGGAGUAUGUUCAAAACACUUUUUAGAAAAAGAUAUUGACAGAACUUCACUUUCAUCUGUUCGUUUGAGAGACUGUGCUGUUCCAAUAGCUUAUGUCACACAGAAUCAGCUGAGAGAAGUGGUCUACAAAAAACCAGAAAGGAAACGGAAUAUGUGGCUACGAAAAGCAAAAGAAAGGUUUACAAAGCAAAUGUGACACAUUUUUUAAUAAUAUUUAGGAAUGUCAGCAAAUUACAUUAAAAAAUGUAUGUAAAGAUUUUUUGCAAUAAAAAUGUUUAUAUUUA